AAUUAUGGUGGGCUGAUUGAGGGCGCUUCGGCGCGCCGUGACCUUGUGAGCGGUAAGGCUAACCUUGAUCAGUCCACCACCAGU
rnacentral:antisense_RNA from 1 species